UACGUAGGGUGCGAGCGUUGUCCGGAAUUACUGGGUGUAAAGGGUGCGUAGGCGGGCAUGUGCGUCGGAGGUUAAAUACAACGGCUUAACCGUUGAACUGCCUUCGAAACGGCAUGUCUUGAAUGUGGGAGAGGAUGAUGGAAUUCCUGGUGUAGCGGUGAAAUGCGUAGAUAUAACACAGAACACCGAUCGCGAAGGCAGCUCACUAAUUUUCAACUGACGCUCAUGCACGAAAGCGUGGGGAUCAAACAGG
rnacentral:rRNA from 1 species